CAAAUCCCGAAGCCUUGGAGAAAAUUCUCAAGCUUUUCGAGCCAGCGCAACAUCGUCCGUAUGCCGACAAAAGCCAAGCCAAUGGAAGAAGCGAUUGUGAAUUGGCUUUAACUAGAAGUACUGCGACAGCAUCAAAGCUACCUGUGUUUGUACGGCAAGUACUUGGGGAAGCAAUCCUCGAACUCCUAGUAUGAAUCAAUCGCUUCUUCCUUUUGGCUUUUGCUCUUGUUUCAUGUGGAGGAUUCUUAGGAUCGCAAGACGGGGGAGCUCGUGCGAACUCCGAACAGAGCCGACGGAAGCUGAGCUGGUGCUACUGAUUGUUUCUGAGGUGGCAGAUCUCCAGCGCAGGCGAGCAGCUUGGUAUGGCGUGGGUUGGAGGCUCGUGAGCCACUCCGGCUUUCGGGCCAUUGGCAAGCCAUUUGCGGCACCUCGAUCCAAUGGCAAGACGAGAUCCAUCCAACUCUGGGGAGGAACUGCCAAUCGUGCUGCAUCCACUAUCGUGCCCAGUCGAUCUGUAGCAAGUAGCAGUAACUUGCAGCUCUGCGAGUAAUCUAAUAUAGAAAUAGUAAAGCUAUUUACCCCGAUGUCAACCAAAAGCCCGUCUAGCUCAGUUGGUAGAGCGCAAGGCUCUUAACCUUGUGGUCGUGGGUUCGAGCCCCACGGUGGGCGAUUAUUUUUAGGUUAUUUUGACUUUACCCGUUUGCAUGCGUUGGAUUUGAUUCUGUCAAGUAAAUUUGCUGCUCAAAAUUUCAAAUCCAAGGAACUCCUUUCGGAAUA